UCCUUUGGCAAGCCCCUCUUGUUUUUUUGUAAUCGCACUUUGGUGAACCCCUUGGACGUGAGCGAACUGUCAAGCGAUUUGUCAACACACAUUUUGUUUUGUGUUUUUGCAUUCGUAAAUAUUUUUGUUGUGCUCCUAACCGGAAAGGUUCACCACGAACAUUAUUCUCCGAUUCUGAAUCUUCCGCUAAACUCCCGACAUAAAUAUUUCCAUUCGGAUGGAAAGUUGAUAUCAUCUGGGAUUGAUAUCGUCUGUGGUGAGAAUUUGCCCUCAGAUUUCCUCACAAUUUUGCCUGUGCUUUGAUGAACACCCAUCGUCGUCGUCGGAUCUCAGGCAAUUCCUCCUCCCAUCGCGGUGCUAAAUGUGUCGGACCGUGAUAAUAAUGGUUGGAAUGAGCAACUUUACAUAGGGUCCGGCCAUCAUUGGGGUCGUUGGAGCAGUCGUAGGUGCGCAAGCCCAAAAGCCGUCAAAAGUGAGCCUCAAGCGGAGCAACGGACGGAAAGGAAACGUAUGUCGUCGUUUUUGGAUACUUUCUUUGUCCUCUACUUCCUCCGGAGCGCUGCACUAGCUACCCGCUAAAGAUCCCUCCCAGCAAACGCUCGAAGAUUAAGUGUGCUGGUCGCAUCAAUUCCCGGCUUACGCCAGCGCUAACCCAUAAGCGAUAUACAUAUUCCCAGUGAAGACGUAGUGUCUCUCGAUGGAGCAGAAACAGCCCUUCCGGAAGCGGGUACGCCAGUCAAGGGCAGCGAUCAACCUCACCCGUAGAAAGUCCCGCAGGAUAAUAGUGCAAAUUCCCGGCAGACAGAGUUGCCGGUUAAGGUCGACAAUGUACCGCCUCCAUACAACAACCCGAAGCAGUUGGAUGUCCUCAUUCCGAGGGUUCCAUCAGUCGAAAGGCUACUCGUGCGAAGUGGAAUAGUUCUGCUGCAUGUGAACGAGGCCAGCACAUACCUUUGCGGUUGCCUUAAAAUAACUGGACUAACUUGAGAGUUCCAAACGCCCACGACGUUCUUUUAAGAAGAGAUUGUUUCUAAGAAGGAUCCAUUUUUCACCUGAAAGUCUAAGAUUUCAGGAGUAUACUGCCCCCACUCGCAUAACUGUCCCAUUUGACUUUUCAUCACUUUUGAGUUAAGGUUAUGAAUAGUCAUUAUUUUCGAUGUACUUCCAAAAACAAUAAUAAAAAUUAUGAUUUUUUAUGUCAAUAUGUGAAAAAAAUACCAAGUCAUGAGCGUCCCAUAUCAAAAGUACCCGCAUAACAGUCCCAUCAUGGAUUUUUGUGUCACGUAACACAAAACUGAACAACUUUGUAGUGAUUGUAAUAUUUUUUACAGUUAUAUAUUCAUGUGCAAAGCAAUCUGUGAAAGUCUCGAGAUGAUCGAAAUAUUCUUCGAAUUUUGGCGGUUUUCAAAGUUUUAUAUGGAAACAAGUUUUCAAACUUCAAAUGCUGUUUUCUCAAUUCCUACUUUUUGCAAAUGGGACUGUUAUGCGAGUGGGGGCAGUAUACUAGUGGUUUAAUUGGAAAUCUUUUUUUUUAAAGCUGUUGGUUGACAAAUAAAGAUAUAGGAUUCACAAAGCG